GGCGCUGUGGCUUAGUUGGUUAAAGUUCCUGUCUAGUAAACAGGAUAUUCUUGGUUUGAAUCCUAGCAGUGUCU